CUCAUCUCCCGGCCGCACGCACAGCACCACUCCUCCUCCCGGAGAUCGCCGCCGUCCGCAUCGCUGCAGCACGCGCCCCCUCACCUCGCCGGGGCCGAUCGCUCCACCGCCUGCCCGAGUGUAGGUGUGGGCGCUCAUGCCAGCGAGAGGCGCACGGGAUCUGUGGCCGUCGCUAGGGACCUGGACGCACGCGGGGCAGCCGCCGGCAAACGAAGCCGCUUGUGAGAGUAUGCCACGCGCGCCGAACACCGGUCUCCUCCCUGUUGUCAUAAGGCCGAUUCUGCCCUUUUGCCACUGCCCACUUCGAUAGGCCGAGGGUCACCAUACAUUGGUUCUCCGCCUUGCAGCACUUCCCAAUAGCGAUUAUGGCCUACAAGUCUCAAAAGGAGUGAUUAUAGCAUCUGUCAUGGCUCUCCAUAUUCCUGAUGGGUGUAGUAUGCUUGAUUCACCAUUGAGAGGAUUGUCAUAAAAUAUCUCAGAAUCCAGUCAUGGGCCAUAGAUAGAUUUCCAUGUAAGUUAUGUUUACAAUAUCAAGUUAAUAAAAAUAAAGAAUGCGCUAGGGACAUGGAUUAUGUCUAACUAACCAUUUUGUUUCUGCAGUAUGGAUUGAACUGGGAGAAUGAAUUAGUUAAUAACAUGAUUGUAAAGGAAUAUGAGAAGCUGACAUCACUAGAACUAAAGUUCUUAGUGUUGUAUUUCUCAGUCGGGUUCAUCAUUUCUUCAAUAGUCGAAACUUUAAAAUGUAAUCAUUGUCGUAAAGCAAGUGGAAUAUGUUUAUGCGAACUGUCAAACUAAAACUUAGAAAAAAUAUCGUUGAUUACUAAUAAACGAUGUAACUUUUGAAGGAAAAUUUCAUCGAUGAAGUAACAGAUGGAAUGAUUUGUUGUUCAUGUACAUUUUGAUAAUUUUUCUUUCAUCGUUUUUGUUGUUGAUGCACAGAAACAAAUCGUUGGUAGAUAGGAAUCUUUCUGAAAAUGAUUUCCUCGUAAUGCAGUUUCUCCGAACAUGUUCGUUUGAAGUCUUAUGCCUGAAAUAUGUUUUUAUUUAUUUUCCAUGUGUUAUUGUUCAGGGCCAAAACGUUGCAGAUAUGGGAAAAGGAUGUUGAUUGAUUCAUGCUUGGUGUUCUCUGGCAACCUAAAGUAUUAUUUGCUUCUGAUAAUAGCGAAGGAAGGUCCGCCACAUUUGUCAUUUAUCAUAUGCCUAUUUCUUUUGUGAGUGUGACCUAGGCGUUAAAUAUGGUUUGCCUAUUGACUAUGUUAGAGCUGACUUAUGCGAGCUGUUAGCCUUUUGAUGAACAUAUGGUGUUGAUUGUUUAAAGCUGGAAUGUUCAGCCUCUCUGCAUGCCAACUACCUUUCGGACACAUGAACCUAUUUUUACUAUGGUCAUCAUUUGGGAGUAGUAUGGACAUCUAAUUACUAUGUUGUUUUCAACAGUUAAGGAUAAUGGACUUACUUUUCAAAGUAUGUGUGUCAGUACAUGUGCUUCAUGCUAAAAUUUGGCUUUGUUUCUGGAAAUUAAGUACAUGUGAUUGUGAUUAACAUACAAUUUUGUCAAAUAUGCUGGUCUGAUUAUUUCCAUCUUUAUUAACAAUGGCAGGUUUAAUUACUUAAUACCUCAUAUGCUUUUUAGUGGUUUGUAGGUAGGCACAUUAAGAUACCUCAUGAUGAAGAUAUUCAGUAACGUGCUUGAAAUUAUUGGAAAAAGUUUGCAAGCAACCUACAUGACCUGCUCAAGCUGACCCUGUUACCACACUUGGAAUCAAGCUUCCAUUCCCUGCCCUUAUCGUCAAGAAACUUCAGGAAUAGUUCCCGUUUGCAACUCUUUUUGUAUAACCAAAUUGACAUCUCAGAUUGAUAUUUUACCUUGAGUGUUGAUUCAAUUGUGUGUGAUAUAAAGAUUUGAAUUCCAUGAGCACAUAUUUUUUCUAUUAUUAA